ACAUGCAAGUCGAACGGGUGUAGCAAUACACUAGUGGCGCACGGGUGCGUAACGCGUAACCAACCUGCCCUUGACUGGGGGAUAGCCCGCCGAAAGGCGGAUUAAUACCGCAUAAACUAGCAGCCUGGCAUCAGGCAACUAGUAAAGAUUUAUUGGUCAAGGAUGGGGUUGCGUGACAUUAGCUAGUUGGCGGGGUAACGGCCCACCAAGGCGACGAUGUCUAGGGGACCUGAGAGGGUGAUCCCCCACACUGGCACUGAGAUACGGGCCAGACUCCUACGGGAGGCAGCAGUAGGGAAUAUUGGGCAAUGGGCGAGAGCCUGACCCAGCCAUGCCGCGUGCCGGAUGAAGGCCUUCUGGGUUGUAAACGGCUUUUCUCAGGGAAGAAAAAGGUGAUGCGUCACAAACUGACGGUACCUGAGGAAUAAGCACCGGCUAACUCCGUGCCAGCAGCCGCGGUAAUACGGAGGGUGCAAGCGUUGUCCGGAUUUAUUGGGUUUAAAGGGUGCGUAGGCGGCCCGUUAAGUCCGGGGUGAAAGCCCACAGCUCAACUGUGGAACUGCCCUGGAUACUGGCGGGCUUGAGUCCAGACGAGGUUG
rnacentral:rRNA from 1 species